AUAAUAGAAGGAUAGAGGCAAUAAAGUUUCAAGGGAGGUUGUUUUUAACUAUUAUUAAUUUAAAAUGAAAGCAUAUUUAUUCUCUAACAGAAAAGAUCCAGUAGAGGAGAGACUGGAAAUAUAAGAAAGAGAGAAAUAAAGUGAGACAGGAAGAAAAAGAGAGAAGGAAGACAGAAGAUGGAGGAGAGGAGAGAGAACAGAGAAAGAAUCAUGUCCAGAAGAGGAAUUCUUGGAGUGUUGAGCUAAAAAGGAUAGAGAAGAGGAAAAGUCUAACAGUCGGAAAAAAAAAAAAAAAGGAAGAGAUAUUUCUUUCUCUAGAGUGAGAUGGAUUUCAUCCAAGAAAAUCCCACCAUUCAUCUCAACUCCUUCCUUCACAGGAACAACCAGAUGACAUGUUGGCUGUCUUCAUUAGUGUCCCAUAGAGACCCUCCAAGAUUCCCCGACACUACGCAAUCCUCAACCCAUGCAGGCUGCUGAUGUAAAUGCCAAGUAUUGUUUGUGAGACAGAGAUAGGAUUGUGGAUGCCACAGACCCAUCUGUGGCUUUAGAACGACUGUUGUUUUAAGAAAUGGCCUUCUCUGUGACCUGCCUGCUAUUUCAGAGACGGUAUGUCGG
rnacentral:lncRNA from 1 species